UUCUUUCUCUCUCCCCUCUCUUUCUUUCUCUCUCCCCUGUCAUUUACUAGCGUCCCGUUUUACUAACAGGGUAGUAUCCCAUACCACUCCCCCCCCGUCCCACUAUAUUUAUGGCGCAAUCUAUUGGCAAGCAAGCUGCCUCGUGUGUGUGAGAGAGAGAGAUGUCUGUCACUCUAUUUCUGACUGCUUUGAUGGGUGCCCUGCUCGUGUGUGUGUGUUUCUGUUUGACGGUGAGACAGUGAGCCUCUCACUUUGGCCUCGCAGGAUUGGGAUUAUAAACCAGUACAUUUGGAGUUCCUGCAUUGAUUUAAUAGCCAUCAUAAGUUGAAUCCGUCUGAGUUUAACCUGUGUGAGGACUUGAGUGACCUGAGUGUGGAGCGCUCCACACUUUUAACCAGUCGAGCUAAAGCCAGCCUGCCCCUCACACACGCUGGACCCAACCUGCUCAACUUCUGGCCGCCGCUGAACCGACACGGAAAGACUAUGAUGUUAGAGAAGUGGAGGGUGUGUCAGAAGAUGGAGGGAGAGAGUAACUUCUGAGUCUUCUCCCAGAUGCUGGCUGGACUCAGUACAGAGAUGAGUGUGUCAGUGUGAGGAGCCACCUGAUGGGUUCUGACCCGGUCAGAUAUGACCUGACUGGAUUCUUCAGCCUGAUUCAGAGCAACCCAUCUUCUCUCAAUGCCAUCUCACUGCUGCAGAACUCUUCUGUUGGGGUAGUGAAGACGCUGUUCGGCCCCCAUGCCUCUGUUCCCCCCCC